rnacentral:lncRNA from 1 species
AAGAACCUUAGUUAAGAAUCACCUAAUUUUCUUGCUCCAAUGGGAGUUUCUUAAUUUAGGUUUCUUAAAAAAAAAAGGUUGGCACAUACAAAAACAUUGGCACAUACAACUGAUCCAACAGAAAGACUUUGCAUCAAUAAAUAAGUACUUUCAAUUCGGGGGAGACGAUAUGCCAGUAGGUGGCGAUCAGAUGAGACAGGGAAUUGAAGCAGGGAGGUGGAAAUGCCAGGUUGACGCAUCUUGGAUCGAAGAUCAGGGCGCUACAGGUCUCGGGUUUGUGCUACUAGAUGAUGGAAGAUCCACCCUGUUCGGGGUCAAGGGUAACAUCAGCUCGGUUUCACCUCUCCAUGCGGAAGCAGAAGGCAUAAUCUGGACGAUGCAGGAGAUUCUUAAAAGUGGGAGAAGAGAGAUUCAAAUUCUGUCGGAUUGCGAACAACUAGUGAAGAUCAUACUAACCGAUAUGGAAUGGCCAGCCUUAGCGCCGGAGCUAGACGAGAUUAAAGCAUUAUCCUUUGAUUUCUCAAGCUUCUCUAUAUCUGCUAUCCCAAGAUCACAGAAUGCAUGUGCGGACAGACUCGCCAAAGGUGGCCGACUACGCAAGCUAAAUCCCUCAGUUAGUGUCUUUGCGCCCAUAUGGCUAGCCCCUGAAGCUAGUCUAACGGCUGCAGAGUAGUUUUUAGAUUCUAUUUCGAUGUCAAAAAAAAAGUACUUUCAAUUCCAAAAGCAUAGAAACAAAUGAUACAAUUGACAAUGAUAUGCCAAAUGGCUGCAAUGCACGGAUAAAAACUUACUUAAGCUGAGAGUACAAAUAGAAAAUAAUUAGGAAAGAGCUUCAAAUUCCCUCUCAGAACAGCCUACGAUAAAAUAUUGAAUACUAUUAUUGUUUUAAAGAUUUAGAUAUCAAGCAGUCAUCAGGCAAACUUGUAUCUCAAAUCCAGUCAAUUCAUGGAAAGGAUUAAAGCAUAUGGUCUGAAGUAUUUAUCCUUACCCCAACUAAAUGCAAAAGAGAAAGAGAAGGAUCAAAGGCAAUGCUUGACUUAUCCUUCUCGUUUUGAAAAAAAUUCCUAGGAAAACAUACAAAGUAUCUUGUUGAAGCCACAAAGCAGAAUGUAUCAUACAUUCAUUCCUUAGAAACUCGGUACCCCGACUAACGGAAUCCAUGAGACCAGGCAAGGAAUGAGAAAUUAGACAAACCAAACAAAAAAAGCAAGGUUCUGAGACGGCUACAAGAAGCGCUAAUCAGACCAAAUAUCCUAAAGAGGUGCCAAUAAUUUGAAAGAAAUAUCUUCAAUUACACAUCAAGCUUCCCACAAAAUCAAUUCAAAACCAUUGCACGUCUCUCAUCUACAUCUGUAACAAUCAGAUCAAAUCCAUCUCCCAAUUCCCGAAAUCAGAAAUCGAAAUUGCAAUUCCUAUCCAAUCUCUAACGAAGACCUCGGGGAAGCUAAAAUCUGACUACCAUCCCAGUCACAUCACAAAGUAGAAUCUCAAGAGUCAAAGCCGUAAACAAUCUUAAAAACGAAAUUGAAAUCGAUUCUUACUGUUUUGGAGAUCAACACGAACCUGAGGAGAAGCGUGAAGAAACGAGGCGGCGCCGAUCUUCCUCCAAGACGGAGCUCCAACGCCGUCGACGUUUCUCCUCGACGGAGAACACGAGAGAAGAUGAGAGAAGAGGAGAGGAAGAAAAGAAAAGUUUGAAAGAAAAAAAAAAACCCUAGAAGCUGACACGUGUUAUAAGAAACUCUUCUAUGAUCGGUAACAAAAAAUUAUUAACUAAGGAUCGAUUAUAAGUUUUUAAUUUAGUUUCCAUUUAAUUAAUUGUCUUAUUUUCUUUAAAAAUUCAUCUAAGAAACUGCGAUGAU